rnacentral:rRNA from 1 species
UACGUAGGUCGCAAGCGUUGUCCGGAAUCACUGGGCGUAAAGCGCACGUAGGCGGAUGUGUCAGUCAGGGGUGAAAUCCCGGAGCUCAACUUCGGAACUGCCUCUGAUACAGCACGUCUUGAGUCCGGAAGAGGUGGGUGGAAUUCCUAGUGUAGAGGUGAAAUUCGUAGAUAUUCGCAAGAACACCAGUGGCGAAGGCGGCUCACUGGUCCAUAACUGACGCUGAGGCACGAAAGCGUGGGGAGCAAACAGG